rnacentral:rRNA from 1 species
AGAAUCAACGCUGGCGGCGGUGCCUAACGACGAUGCAAGUCGAACGAGAAAGUGGGAGCAAUCCCACGAGUAAAGUGGCGCACGGGUGAGUAACACGUGACUAACCUACCCUUGAGUGGGGGGAUAACCUAGGGAAACCUGGGCUAAUACCGCAUAAUACCUACGGGUCAAAGGAGCAAUUCGCUUAAGGAGGGGGUCGCGGCAGAUUAGUUAGUUGGCGGGGUAAUGGCCCACCAAGACAGUGAUCUGUAUCCGGCCUGAGAGGGCGCACGGACACACUGGAACUGAAACACGGUCCAGACUCCUACGGGAGGCAGCAGUGGGGAAUUUGCGCAAUGGGGGAAACCCUGACGCAGCAACGCCGCGUGGAGGAUGAAGCCCCUUGGGGCGUAAACUCCUUUCGAUCGGGAAGAUAAUGACGGUACCGGAAGAAGAAGCCCGGCUAACUUCGCGCCAGCAGCCGC